rnacentral:rRNA from 1 species
GAUGAACGCUGGCGGCGUGCCUAAUACAUGCAAGUCGAGCGAACGGACGAGAAGCUUGCUUCUCUGAUGUUAGCGGCGGACGGGUGAGUAACACGUGGAUAACCUACCUAUAAGACUGGGAUAACUUCGGGAAACCGGAGCUAAUACCGGAUAAUAUUUUGAACCGCAUGGUUCAAAAGUGAAAGACGGUCUUGCUGUCACUUAUAGAUGGAUCCGCGCUGCAUUAGCUAGUUGGUAAGGUAAUGGCUUACCAAGGCAACGAUGGGUAGCCGGCCUGAGAGGGUGACCGGCCACACUGGGACUGAGACACGGCCCAGACUACUACGGGAGGCAGAAGUGGUGGAUAUUGCAAAAUGGGCGGAAGCCUUAUGCAGCGACGCCGCGUGCGGGAUGACGGCCUUCGGGUUGUAAACCGCUUUCAGCUCUGCCGAAGCAUUUGUGACGUUAGGAGCGGAAGAAGCACCGGCUAACUACGUG